rnacentral:tRNA from 1 species
CGGGACGUAGCUCAGCCUGGUAGAGCGCUGCCUUUGGGAGGCAGAAGCCGUCGGUUCGAAUCCGACCGUCCCGA